AGGGAAUAUUGCGCAAUGGGCGAAAGCCUGACGCAGCAACGCCGCGUGAAGGAUGAAGGCCUUCGGGUCGUAAACUUCUGUCAGGUGGAAAGAAGUCUCUGCAGGUUAAGAGCUGGCAGAGCUUGACGGUACCACCACAGGAAGCACCGGCUAACUCCGUGCCAGCAGCCGCGGUAAUACGGAGGGUGCGAGCGUUGUUCGGAAUUACUGGGCGUAAAGCGCGUGUAGGCGGCCUCUUAAGUCUGGUGUGAAAUCCCGGGGCUCACCCCCGGAAGUGCAUUGGAUACUGGGAGGCUAGAGUACCGGAGAGGAGGGUGGAAUUCCUGGUGUAGCGGUGAAAUGCGUAGAUAUCAGGAGGAACACCGGUGGCGAAGGCGGCCCUCUGGACGGAUACUGACGCUGAGACGCGAAAGCGUGGGGAGCAA
rnacentral:rRNA from 1 species